UAAUGUCCCCGGGAUCCUGGUCUUGGGGAUCAAAGAUGGCUGAGGCUUGCAAGCUAUCGCUUUAGGAUGAGCCCGCGUACCAUUAGCUAGUUGGUGGGGUAAUGGCCCACCAAGGCCAUGAUGGUUCGCUGGUCUGAGAGGAUGGCCAGCCACACUGGAACUGAGACACGGUCCAGACUCCUACGGGAGGCAGCAGUGAGGAAUCUUGCGCAAUGGGGGGAAACCCUGACGCAGCAACGCCGCGUGAGUGAUGAAGGCCUUCGGGUCGUAAAGCUCUGUCAGAUGGGAAGAAAGUUUCGGCGGUGAACAAUCGCCGGGAUUGACGGUACCGUCAGAGGAAGCACCGGCUAACUCCGUGCCAGCAGCCGCGGUAA
rnacentral:rRNA from 1 species